AGGGGUGUGGCUCAAUGGUAGAGCAUCUGCAUAACAUGUAUGAGGCACUGGGUUCAAUUCUCAGCACCACAU
rnacentral:tRNA from 1 species